GACGAACGCUGGCGGCGUGCUUAACACAUGCAAGUCGAACGGAAAGGCUCCUGUUUGCAGGCGCACUUGAGUGACGGACGGGUAAGUAACACGUAGGCGACCUUCCCCGUCCUUAGGGCUAAGGGUGGCUAACUGUAUUACCUACUAGAAAUGCUGACGGCAUGGAUGGGAUUGUGAAAAGUUUUGCGGUUUGGGAUGAGCUCGCGGCUUAUCAGCUUGUUGGUGGGGUAUUGGCUUACCAAGGCGUGGACGGGUAGCCGGCCUGAGAGGGGGCACGGCCACAUUGGGACUGAGAUACGGCCCAGACUCCUACGGGAGGCAGCAGUGGGGAAUAUUGCACAAUGGGCGCAAGCCUGAUGCAGCGACGCCGCGUGGGGGAUGACGGCCUUCGGGUUGUAAACUGCUUUCGCUAGGGACGAAGCUUGUUGUGACGGUACCUGGAGAAGAAGCACCGGCUAACUACGUG
rnacentral:rRNA from 1 species